rnacentral:rRNA from 1 species
UACGUAGGGGGCAAGCGUUGUCCGGAAUCAUUGGGCGUAAAGAGCGUGUAGGCGGCCAGAUAAGUCCGCUGUGAAAUCUCGAGGCUCAACUUCGAGCUGUCGGUGGAAACUGUCUGGCUAGAGUCCGGAAGAGGAGAAUGGAAUUCCUGGUGUAGCGGUGAAAUGCGCAGAUAUCGGAAGGAACAUCAGUGGCGAAAGCGGCUUCCUGGACCAGCACCGACGUC